rnacentral:lncRNA from 1 species
AAAUAGAAAGCCUACUUUGUUUUAAAUUCUAUGAAAUAGACUGCCCUGAUGGAAAAUUAGAAUGACCCUGAUGGAAAAAAUAGAAUGUCCCUGAUGGAAAAUAUAUGGUAUUUGAACCUAUACGGUUCGAUAAAUGGGAGGAUGUUGAUACUGUGACCCUUAAUGGAAUGAAAAUAGAAAGCCUACUUUGUUUUAAAUUCUAUAAAAUAGAAUGACCCGAUGGAAAAAAUAAAAUGUCCCUGAUGAAAAAUAUAUGGUAUUAGGACCUAUAUGGUUCGAUAAAUAGUAGGAUGAUGAUACUGUGACCCUUAAUCGAAUGAAAAUAGAAAGACUACUUUGUUUUAACUUCUAUAUAAUAGAAAGACCCGUUGGAAAAAGAAGAAAGACCCUGAUGGAAAAAAUAGAAUGUACCUGAUGGAAAAUAUAUGGCAUUUGAACCUAUACAGUUCGAUAAAUGGGAUGAUGAUGGUACUGUGACUCUUAAUCGAAUGAAAAUAGAUAGCAUGUUGUCUACUUUGUUUUAAAUUCUAUGAAAUCGAAUGACCCGAUGGAAAAAUAGCACGACCCUGAUGGAAAAAAUAAAAUGUCGCUGAUGGAAAAUAUAUGGUUUUUGAACCUAUACAGUUCGAUAAAUGGGAGGAUGAUGUUGCUGUGACCCUUAAUCGAAUGAAAAUAGAAAGCCUACUUUGUUAUAAAUUCUAUGAAAUAGAAUGACCCGAUGGAAAAAAUAGAAUACCACUUAUGGAAAAAAUAGAAUGUCCCUGAUGGAAAAUAUAUGGUAUUUGAACCUCCACGGUUCGAUAAAUAGUAGGAUGAUGGUACUGUGACCCUUAAUCAAAUGAAAAUAGAAAAACUACUUUGUUUUAAAUUCUAUAAAAUAGAAUGACCCGAUGGAAAAAAUAAAAUGUCCCUGAUGGAAAAUAUAUGAUUGUAUAGUGACACUUAAUCGAAUGAAAAUAGAAAGCCUACUUUGUUUUAAAUUCUAUGAAAUAGAAUGACCCUGAUGGAAAAAAUAGAAUGACCCUGAUGCGAAAAAUAGAAUGUCCCUGAUGGAAAAUAUAUGGUAUUUAAACCUAUACGGUUCUACAAAUGGGAAGAUGAUGAUACUGUGACCCUUAAUGGAAUGAAAAUAGAAAGCCUACUUUGUUUUCAAUUCUAUGAAAUAGAAUGACCCGAUGGAAAAAAUAGAAUAACCCUUAUGGAAAAAAUAGAAUGUCCAUUGAUGGAAAAUAUAUGGUAUUUGAACCUAUACGGUUCGAUAAAUGGUAGGAUGAUGGUACUCUGACACUUAAUCAAAUGAAAAUAGAAAGCCUACUUUGUUUUAAAUUCUAUGAAUUAGAAUGACCCGAUGGAAAAAAUAGAAUGACCCUGAUGGAAAAAAUAGAAUGUACCUGAUGGAAAAUAUAUGGUAUUUGAACCAAUACGGUUUGAUAAAUGGGAUGAUGAUGGUACUGUGACUCUUAAUCGAAUGAAAAUAGAAAGCAUGUUGCCAACUUUGUUUUAAAUUCUAUGAAAUAGAAUGACCCGAUGGAAAAAUAGCAUGACCCUGAUGGAAAAAAUAAAAUGUCGCUGAUGGAAAAUAUAUGGUAUGUGAACCUAUACGGUUAAAUAAAUGAGAGGAUGAUGUUGCUGUGACCAUUAAUCGAAUGAAAAUAGGAAGCCUACUUUGUUAUAAAUUCUAUGAAAUAAAAUGACCCGAUGGAAAAAAUAGAAUAACCCUGAUGAAAAAAAUUGAAUGUCCUUGAUGGUAAAUAUACGGUAUUUGAACCUAUACGGUUCGAUAAAUGGUAGGCUGUUGGUACUGUGACCCUUAAUCGAAUGAAAAUAGAAAGACUACUUUGUUUUAAAUUCUGUAAAAUAGAAUGACCCGAUGAAAAAAAUAAAAUGUCCCUGAUGGAAAAUAUAUGAUUGUACUGUGACACUUAAUCAAAUGAAAAUAGAAAGCCUACUUUGUUUUAAAUUCUAUGAAAUAAAAUGACCCGGUGGAAAAAAUAGAAUGUCCCUGAUGAAAAAUAUAUGGUAUUUGAACCUAUACGGUUCGAUAAAUGGGAGGAUGGUGAUACUGUGACCCUUAAUGGAAUGAAAAUAGAAAGCCUACUUCGUUUUAAAUUCUAUAAAAUAAAAUGACCCGAUGUAAAAAAAUUGAAUAACCCUCAUGGAAAAAAUAGAAUGUCCCUGAUGGUAAAUAUACGGUAUUUGAACCUAUACGGUUCGAUAAAUGGUAGGCUGAUGGUACUGUGACCCUUAAUCGAACGAAAAUAGAAAGACUACUUUGUUUUAAAUGUAAAAUAGAAUGACCCGAUGGAAAAAAUAAAAUGUCCCUGAUGGAAAAAUAUAUGAUUGUACUGUGACACUUAAUCAAAUGAAAAUAGAAAGCCUACUUUGUUUUAAAUUCUAUGAAAUAAAAUGACCCGAUGGAAAAAAUAGAAUGUCCCUUAUGAAAAAUAUAUGGUAUUUGAACCUAUACGAUUCGACAAAUGGGAGGAUGAUGAUACUGUGACCCUUAAUGGAAUGAAAAUAGAAAGCCUACUUUGUUUUCAAUUCUAUAAAAUAGAAAGCCCCGAUGGAAAAAAUAGAAUAACCCUUAUGGAAAAAAUAGAAUGUCCAUUGAUGGAAAAUAUAUGGUAUUUGAACCUAUACGGUUCGAUAAAUGGUAGGAUGAUGGUACUCUGACACUUAAUGAAAUGAAAAUAGAAAGCCUACUUUGUUUUAAAUUCUAUUAAUUAGAAUGACCUGAUGGAAAAAAUAGAAUGACCCUGAUGGAAAAAAUAGAAUGUCCCUUGAUGGAAAAUAUAUGGUGUUUGAACCUAUACGGUUCGAUAAAUUGUAGGAUGAUGGUACUCUGACACUUAAUUAAAUGAAAAUAGAAAGCCUACUUUGUUUUAAAUUCUAAGAAUUAGAAUGACCCGAUGGAAAAAAUAGAAUGACCGUUAUGGAAAAAAUAGAAUGUCCAUGAUGGAAAAUAUAUGGUAUUUGAACAUAUUCGGUUCGAUAAAUGGUAGGAUGAUGGUACUGUGACCCUUAAUAGAAUGAAAAUAGAAAAACUACUUUGUUUUAAAUUCUAUAAAAUAGAAUGAACCGAUGGAAAAAUAAAAGAAUAACCCUUAUGGAAAAAAUUGAUUGUCCCUGAUGAAAAAUAUAUGGUAUUUGAACCAAUACGGUUCGAUAAAUGAUAUGAUGAUGGUACUGUGACCCUUAAUCGAAUGAAAAUAGAAAGACUACUUUGUUUUAAAUUCUAUAUAAUAGUAUGUUUGGAUGGAAAAAAUAGAAUGACCCUGGUGGAAAAAAUAUGGAAAAUAUAUGGUAUUUGAACCAAUACGGUUCGAUAAAUGAGAUGAUGAUGGUACUGUGACUCUUAAUCGAAUGAAAAUAGAAAGCCUGUUGCCUACUUUGUUUUAAAUUCUAUGAAAUAGAAUGACCCGAUGGAAAAAUAGCAUGACCCUGAUGGAGAAAAUAAAAUGUCGCUGAUGGAAAAUAUAUGGUAUGUGAACCUAUACGGUUUGAUAAAUGAGAGGAUGAUGUUGUUGUGACCCUUAAUUGAAUGAAAAUAGAAAGCCUACUUUGUUAUAAAUUCUACGAAAUAGAAUGACCCGAUGGAAAAAAUAGAAUAACCCUUAUGGAAAAAGUUGAAUGUCCAUGAUGGAAAAUAUACGGUAUUUGAACCUAUACGGUUGGAUAAAAGGUAGGAUGAUGGUACUUUGGCCCUUUAUCGAAUGAAAAUAUAAAGACUACUUUGUUUUAAAUUCUAUAAAAUAGAAUGACCCGAUGGAAAAAAUAAAAUGUUCCUGAUGGAAAAUAUAUGAUUGUAUUUUGACACUUUAUCGAAUGAAAAUAGAAAGCCUACUUUGUUUUAAAUACUAUGAAAUUAAAUGACCCGAUGGAAAAAAUAGAAUGUCCCUGAUGAAAAAUAUAUGGUAUUUGAACCUAUACGGUUCGAUAAAUGGGAGAUGGUGAUACUGUGACCCUUAAUCGAAUGAAAAUAGAAAGCCUACUUUGUUUUCAAUUCUAUAAAAUAGAAAGCCCCGAUGGAAAAAAUAGAAUAACCCUAUAGAAAAUAUAUGGUAUUUGAACCUAUACGGUUCGAUAAAUGGUAGUAUGAUGGUACUGUGACCCUUAAUCGAAUAAAAAUUGAAAGACUACUUUUUUUUUAAAUUCUAUAUAAUAGAAUGACCCGGUGGAAAAAAUAGAAUCACCCUGAUGGAAAAAAUAGAAUGUACCUAAUGGAAAAUAUAUGGUAUUUGAACUUAUACGGUUCGAUCAAUGGGAUGAUGAUGGUACUCUGACUCUUAAUGGAAUGAAAAUAGACAGCCUGUUGCCUACUUUGUUUUAAAUUCUAUGAAAUCGAAUGACCCGAUGAAAAAUAGCAUGACCCUGAUGGAAAAAAUAAAAUGUCGCUGAUGGAAAAUAUAUGGUAUUUGAACCUAUACAGUUCGAUAAAUGGGAGGAUGAUGUUGCUGUGACCCUUAAUCGAAUGAAAAUAGAAAGAUUACUUUGUUUUAAAUUCAAUAUAAUAGAAUAACCCGAUCGGAAAAAUAGAAUGGCCCUGAUGGAAAAAAUAGAAUGUCCCUGAUGGAAAAUAUAUGGUAUUUGAACCUAUACGGUUCGAUAAAUGGUAGUAUGAUGGUAUUGUGACCCUUAAUCGAAUGAAAAUAGAAAAACUACUUUGUUUUAAAUUCUAUAAAAUAGAAUGACCCGAUGGAAAAAAUAAAAUGUCCUUGAUGGAAAAUAUAUGAUUGUACUAUGACACUUAAUCGAAUGAAAAUAGAAAGCCUACUUUCUUUUAAAUUCUAUGAAAUAGAAUGACCCGUUCGAAAAAAUAGAAUGACAUUGAUGGAAAAAAUAGAAUGACAUUGAUGGAAAAAAUAGAAUGUCCCUGAUGGAAAAUAUAUGGUAUUUGAACUAUACGGUUUGACAAAUGGGAGCAUGAUGAUACUGUGACUGUUAAUGGAAUGAAAAUAGAAAGCCUACUUUGUUUUCAAUUCUAUAAAAUAGAAAGCCCCGAUGGAAAAAAUAGAAUAACCCUUAUGGAAAAAAUAGAAUGUCCAUUGAUGGAAAAUAUAUGGUAUUUGAACCUAUACGGUUCGAUAAAUGGUAGGAUGAUGGUACUCUGACAUUUAAUC